GGAAAGUUAGCCCCGAGAUUUGUGGGACCAUACCGUGUUUUGGAACGCAUGGGAGAGGUUGCCUACAAGUUGGAGUUACCCGAAGGACUGUCGGGAGUUCAUGAUGUGUUUCACGUUUCCCAGUUGAAGAAGUGUCAUGCUGAGAUGGCUGAUAUACCGCUGAGAGAUACAGUACUCCUGGAGGCAAUUCAGUUGGACAGUGAUUUGACCUAUGAAGAGAAACCAGUCAAAAUUCUUGAGUUUGGCAGCCGAGUUACUCGUAGUAAGGUUAUCAAGUUUUGCAAAGUUCAGUGGAGCCACCAUACCGAGGAUGAAGCCACCUAG
rnacentral:rRNA from 1 species